rnacentral:tRNA from 1 species
GGGGCCUUAGCUCAGUGGUAGAGCACCUGUCUGACAGGCUGUCGGGGGUUCAAUUCCUUCAGGCUCCA